AGUGAACGCUGGCGGUAGGCCUAACACAUGCAAGUCGAACGGCAGCACAGAGGAGCUUGCUCCUUGGGUGGCGAGUGGCGGACGGGUGAGGAAUACAUCGGAAUCUACUCUGUCGUGGGGGAUAACGUAGGGAAACUUACGCUAAUACCGCAUACGACCUACGGGUGAAAGCAGGGGACCUUCGGGCCUUGCGCGAUUGAAUGAGCCGAUGUCGGAUUAGCUAGUUGGCGGGGUAAAGGCCCACCAAGGCGACGAUCCGUAGCUGGUCUGAGAGGAUGAUCAGCCACACUGGAACUGAGGCACGGUCCAGACUCCUACGGGAGGCAGCAGUGGGGAAUAUUGGACAAUGGGCGCAAGCCUGAUCCAGCCAUACCGCGUGGGUGAAGAAGGCCUUCGGGUUGUAAAGCCCUUUUGUUGGGAAAGAAAUCCAGCUGGCUAAUACCCGGUUGGGAUGACGGUACCGAAAGAAUAAGCACCGGCUAACAACGUGCCAGCAGCCGCAGUAA
rnacentral:rRNA from 1 species